UCGAGGUGACGAUAGAAAAUUCACUAGUCCCUGAAACAUUAUGUGAUGUUAUUGUGAUAUCUCGACAGGUUCUGAUCGA
rfam:Brassica napus, WGS project CCCW01000000 data, contig: 37002